rnacentral:rRNA from 1 species
GACGAACGCUGGCGGCGUGCCUAAUACAUGCAAGUAGAACGCACAGUUUAUACCGUAGCUUGCUACACCAUAGACUGUGAGUUGCGAACGGGUGAGUAACGCGUAGGUAACCUGCCUGGUAGCGGGGGGUAACUAUUGGAAACGAUAGCUAAUACCGCAUCAUAUUAAUUAUUGCAUGAUAAUUAAUUGAAAGGUGCAAUUGCACCACUACCAGAUGGACCUGCGUUGUAUUAGCUAGUAGGUGAGGUAACGGCUCACCUAGGCGACGAUACAUAGCCGACCUGAGAGGGUGAUCGGCCACACUGGGACUGGGACACGGCCCAGACUCCUACGGGAGGGAGCAGUAGGGAAUCUUCGGCAAUGGACGGAAGUCUGACCGAGCAACGCCGCGUGAGUGAAGAAGGUUUUCGGAUCGUAAAGCUCUGUUGUAAGAGAAGAACGGGUGUGAGGGUGGAAAGUUCACACUGUGACGGUAUCUUACCAGAAAGGGACGGCUAACUACGUG